GAGAUCGAGACGACCAAGAGAAAGGUCCGACACCGCAGCAAGACCAUAAUUGACGUCGAGUGAAACCUCCAGGUCUUUGAGACGCUCCAACUCCUCCCCGAGCUCGAAGCCGCCUUCACUAUACUCGAUCAAAGCUUCAUACGAGCUCGCGUUUCUUGCAAAAGAAUCUCCGCGGCCGUUUCCUUCUUCUUCUGCUCAAUUUAUUCCUGACUACAGCCAAACCCCCC
rnacentral:lncRNA from 1 species